rnacentral:lncRNA from 1 species
GGUGGAAUGGUGCAGAAAUGAGUCAAAGGUGCAGCAAGAGUCAUGAUGCACGGCAUGGGAGUCCAAAGGUGGUGGAUGGUGCAUCAAUGAGUGCAUGUAGUGGAGGUAAAAGUUGUAUGAAAUCUGAUGGGUGAAGGGAACAAGGAAUGGUGUAGCAAUUGAGUGCAAGGAGUGGACAAGAUUAUUGUGCACAUGGUAG